GACGAACGCUGGCGGCGUGCUUAACACAUGCAAGUCGAACGGGUCUGCCUUGUUUUUUGCGGGGUGGGUCAGUGGCGAACGGGUGAGUAACACGUGAGUAACCUGCCCCUCACUUCUGGAUAACCGCUUGAAAGGGUGGCUAAUACGGGGUGUUCUGGCUGUGCCGCAUGGUGUGGCUGGGAAAGAUUCACUUUUGUGGUGUUUUGGUGGGGGAUGGGCUCGCGGCCUAUCAGCUUGUUGGUGGGGUGAUGGCCUGCCAAGGCUUUGACGGGUAGCCGGCCUGAGAGGGUGGGCGGUCACACUGGGACUGAGAUACGGCCCAGACUCCUGCGGGAGGCAGCAGUGGGGGGUAUUGCACAAUGGGCGGAAGCCUGAUGCAGCGACGUCGCGUGAGGGAUGGAGGCCUUCGGGUUGUGAACCUCUUUCGCCGGUGAAGAAGGUCCUGUUCUUUGUGGUGGGGCUGACGUAGCCG
rnacentral:rRNA from 1 species